GCUUGCACCUUUCAAGCGAGUGGCGAACGGGUGAGUAACACGUGGAUAACCUGCCUCAAGGCUGGGGAUAACAUUUGGAAACAGAUGCUAAUACCGAAUAAAACUUAGUAUCGCAUGAUAUCAAGUUAAAAGGCGCUACGGCGUCACCUAGAGAUGGAUCCGCGGUGCAUUAGUUAGUUGGUGGGGUAAAGGCUUACCAAGACGAUGAUGCAUAGCCGAGUUGAGAGACUGAUCGGCCACAUUGGGACUGAGACACGGCCCAAACUCCUACGGGAGGCUGCAGUAGGGAAUCUUCCACAAUGGGCGCAAGCCUGAUGGAGCAACGCCGCGUGUGUGAUGAAGGCUUUCGGGUCGUAAAGCACUGUUGUAUGGGAAGAAAUGCUAAAAUAGGGAAUGAUUUUAGUUUGACGGUACCAUACCAGAAAGGGACGGCUAAAUACGUGCCAGCAGCCGCGGUAAUACGUAUGUCCCGAGCGUUAUCCGGAUUUAUUGGGCGUAAAGCGAGCGCAGACGGUUGAUUAAGUCUGAUGUGAAAGCCCGGAGCUCAACUCCGGAAUGGCAUUGGAAACUGGUUAACUUGAGUGUUGUAGAGGUAAGUGGAACUCCAUGGGU
rnacentral:rRNA from 1 species